GUGCGGCAAUAAAGGCUUUGACACAAGUGGAGUACUCGUAGGAAAGCAAGGAACGUUAUGGAGACAACAUUGCUUGCCAGGACUUCUGCAAAUGUUGUUUGAAUAAACAAGGACACUAAAUGGACAUAUUAGUAAGCCCAAUCAAUGCUCACAGAUCCUUGGAAAAUGCAAUUUACGGUUUCAUGUUGCAAAAAAACAUCUCAGGUUGCCUGU
rnacentral:lncRNA from 1 species